rnacentral:rRNA from 1 species
AGCAGCCGCGGUAAUUCCAGCUCCAAUAGCGUAUAUUAAAGUUGUUGCAGUUAAAAAGCUCGUAGUUGAAUUUCGAGAUCAAAUUGUUGGUCGUGCCUCGGUACGUACUGGCAUUAUUGAUUUCUCCCUUCUGAAGAACCACGAUGUCAUUAAUUUGGUGUCGUGGGGAAUCAGGACCGUUACUUUGAAAAAAUUAGAGUGUUUAAAGCAGGCUCACGCUUGAAUACAUUAGCAUGGAAUAAUGAAAUAGGACGUUUGAUUCUAUUUUGUUGGUUUCUAGGAUCGACGUAAUGAUUAAUAGGGAUAGUUGGGGGCAUUAGUAUUCAAUUGUCAGAGGUGAAAUUCUUGGAUUUAUUGAAGACUAACUACUGCGAAAGCAUUUGCCAAGGAUGUUUUCAUUAAUCAAGAGCGAAAGUUAGGGGAUCGAAGACGAUCAGAUACCGUCGUAGU